AGCUUUGCGCAGUGGCAGUAUCGUAGCCAAUGAGGUUUAUCCAAGGCGCGAUUAUUGCUAAUAGAAUAUGGCUCUAGUCUUGUGACCAUGGGCAAAUCCCUCUUAGCCUUGUUUCUCCAUCUGUUUAAAGACCACUUUAUAGUAUUGCCAUAAAU
rnacentral:snRNA from 14 species